AUGCCUUCCUCUUUGUGUCAGUACCCCUCAUGUGUCCUGCCACUCCAGUCCCCACAACUGCUGCCCUCAGUUAACUACACAGGAACAUCAGUGCCUCGUCCUCCCCGAGUGGCUGCAGUUUUGGGGUGCCAUGGGCUGCCCGGAUGCUGUGGGCACGGAGCAGAAAGGCGCAGCUGCCUGCUGAUGGAGAGCAGCACCAGGAACGAGCAGGAGAGCCUUGCUCUAAGGGUAAAAGCAAGAGUUUGCAGAAGAUGGGCUGAAGCUUUCGCCGUGGUUCUGGAGGAUGCACAGGACUCCUUUCCAGCAAAGCUGUGGAUCGAGCCAGAAAGAUCUGGCUGGCUGAGAGGCCCUGCUUUCACCUGGAUGCAACCUUGCCAUCGAGUUCAUCCCUGCAGUGCCCAGCAGCAACCACUGAACCUUGGCUCUCCAGCCUCCUCUUCCAGAUCUGCAACCCUCUGCAAAGGACACAGGACUUCAGUGAAAGUGCUGCUUUACCUCACUCUGGAUUUUAUAUCCCAGCUAGGUAUACUGAUUUUUUUUUUUCAACUUCCUUUUCAAUCAGUCACUUUGGCAUCGUUAUGGCUUGGGUUGCUCUUUUCUGAAGUCUGUUUUAAUUCUUUACCUUUGUAUUUUAGCAGCGAGUUGCCUUGA
rnacentral:lncRNA from 1 species